UUUUAGCCCCGAUUGUAAUGAAAAUCCUUUUUUGAAAAAAAAGAUUGCAAUGGAAAGCGGGAAAUAGC
rnacentral:sRNA from 1 species